UACGGAGGGUGCAAGCAUUAAUCGGAUUUAUUGGGCGUAAAGGGCGCGUAGGCGGGGAAUCAAGUCAGAUGUGAAAUCCCGAGGCUCAACCUCGGAACAGCAUUUGAAACUGACUCUCUAGAGGGUAGGCGGAGAAAACGGAAUUCCACAAGUAGCGGUGAAAUGCGUAGAUAUGUGGAAGAACACCGGUGGCGAAGGCGGUUUUCUAGCUUAUUCCUGACGCUGAGGCGCGAAAGCAAGGGGAUCAAAC
rnacentral:rRNA from 1 species